rnacentral:rRNA from 1 species
GACGAACGCUGGCGGCGUGCUUAACACAUGCAAGUCGAACGGUAAGGCCCUUCGGGGUACACGAGUGGCGAACGGGUGAGUAACACGUGGGUGAUCUGCCCUGCACUUUGGGAUAAGCCUGGGAAACUGGGUCUAAUACCGGAUAGGACCGUGCGCUUCACGGUGUGUGGUGGAAAGCUUUUGCGGUGUGGGAUGGGCCCGCGGCCUAUCAGCUUGUUGGUGGGGUGAUGGCCUACCAAGGCGACGACGGGUAGCCGGCCUGAGAGGGUGACCGGCCACACUGGGACUGAGAUACGGCCCAGACUCCUACGGGAGGCAGCAGUGGGGAAGAUUGCACAAUGGGCGCAAGCCUGAUGCAGCGACGCCGCGUGAGGGAUGACGGCCUUCGGGUUGUAAACCUCUUUCAGUAGGGACGAAGCGCAAGUGACGGUACCUACAGAAGAAGGACCGGCCAACUACGUGCCAGCCGCCGCGGUAA